GGGGGAGGCGGGAACCGAGCGGCCGAGGGUCACCUCCGCGGGCCCCCAAGCCGCAGGGUGGGAGAUGGGUGGGGACCAAGCAGGCAGGGACUCCUGACGGCGCUGCCGCCCUCUCCGUUCUCCCGAGAAGUUUCCCUCGCAGCACCCCCCCUGCCAUCUUGCUGACGUCAUCCAGGGCCCCGUCCCGCUGGUGUCCUGGGAGCCGCUCAGCCUCCACCCCAGCAGUUUUGCCCAGUAGAGUAGAGCCCAGUGAGGGUGGGCUGAGAGGAAACAACAAGUCUCAGCAGAGCAGAGAGUUUUGGGUUCAAACCUGGCGCUGGCAGGAGUAGCAAGAGGGCACCUUGAAAUCCUGACUCUUGACUUGAGUCUUGGUGGACCAAGACUCAGUCUCCCCUCUGGAGAGAAGGCCCAGCGUCACAGGGCUGUGGAGAAGUGGACAUGAACCAAACAUGCAGUAGGACGAAGGUUGUAAAGCCCCUGCCCAGGCUCUCCUGGGGGCCUCCAGCUGAGAAUGCGGGGCUCUUACACCAAGCAGAGCUGUCUGGUUGUGCAUCCUGGCCCCACAUAAACCCAUCCCCUGCUAUGGAUAAGCGUGGUGUGCCCCAGACACCAGUAAAUAAAGGUCCCCUAUGAAGGCCACUGCCUGACAAUCACCAGUGCCCUUCUGCCAGCACCCACACCAACUACCACUACCCACAGCACUGACAGUCCUGUGAGCAAAGUUGUACCCCUUCCUGCUGUAAGUCAGAAAAGUGUCCAGAGCAGAGGACUUGUAUCACCUGGGUGCCCACAAGCACUGGGUGGGCCCUGGCCAAGCUGUAACACAUGAGGAAAGGGUGUCUGUGCUAUCAUCUGGGCACUCAGGCCUCUAGGGAACUCUUCACAUUCACGACCCACUAGCAUCACCAGACCUCACCCAGCAGCCUCCAGCAGGGAGUGGGGAGAAGUCCAGAGCCCCAGGUUCUCUGAGAGCCAAGGACAUGGAACUAGGUCUGCAUGGUAUGUGUGUGCACA